AGAGUUUGAUCAUGGCUCAGAUUGAACGCUGGCGGCAGGCCUAACACAUGCAAGUCGAGCGGUAACAGAAAGUAGCUUGCUACUUUGCUGACGAGCGGCGGACGGGUGAGUAAUGCUUGGGAACAUGCCUUGAGGUGGGGGACAACAGUUGGAAACGACUGCUAAUACCGCAUAAUGUCUACGGACCAAAGGGGGCUUCGGCUCUCGCCUUUAGAUUGGCCCAAGUAGGAUUAGCUAGUUGGUGAGGUAAUGGCUCACCAAGGCGACGAACCCUAGCUGGUUUGAGAGGAUGAUCAGCCACACUGGGACUGAGACACGGCCCAGACUCCUACGGGAGGCAGCAGUGGGGAAUAUUGCACAAUGGGCGCAAGCCUGAUGCAGCCAUGCCGCGUGUGUGAAGAAGGCCUUCGGGUUGUAAAGCACUUUCAGUCAGGAGGAAAGGUUAGUAGUUAAUACCUGCUAGCUGUAACGUUACUGACAGAAGAAGCACCGGCUAACUCCGUGCCAGCAGCCGCGGUAAUACGGAGGGUGCGAGCGUUAAUCGGAAUUACUGGGCGUAAAGCGUACGCAGGCGGUUUGUUAAGCGAGAUGUGAAAGCCCCGGGCUCAACCUGGGAACUGCAUUUCGAACUGGCAAACUAGAGUGUGAUAGAGGGUGGUAGAAUUUCAGGUGUAGCGGUGAAAUGCGUAGAGAUCUGAAGGAAUACCGAUGGCGAAGGCAGCCACCUGGGUCAAACACUGACGCUCAUGUACGAAAGCGUGGGGGAGCAAACGGGAUUAGAUACCCCGGUAGUCCACGCCGUAAACGAUGUCUACUAGAAGCUCGGAGCCUCGGUUCUGUUUUUUCAAAGCUUAACGCAUUAAGUAGACCGCCUGGGGAGUACGGCCGCAAAGGUUAAAACUCAAAGGAAUUGACGG
rnacentral:rRNA from 1 species